CGGUAGUUGAGUUAACCCAAUAAACUUGUCUCUUAAGAAGGUCUAGUAACUCUGGUCAACCUCCUAAUUGUGUCAUUGUCUUUUAUGUUAAAUGUUAUCAUGGUCGCAAAUGGUGGGAUUGGUAAAGGGUGCAGGGUUGCUACUGGGGGCGGUGAGCUCUAGUGUAUUUGUGGUGUUUGUGCUAUUUCAUUCAUCUUCCCACUACUUCUGUUGUCAAAUUACUUCUGGCCGUCUUCCCC